CCUACGGGUGGCAGCAGUAGGGAAUCUUCCACAAUGGGCGAAAGCCUGAUGGAGCAACGCCGCGUGGGUGAAGAAGGUCUUCUGAUCGUAAAACCCUGUUGUUAGAGAAGAAAGUGCGUGAGAGUAACUGUUCCCGUUUCGACGGUAUCUAACCAGAAAGCCCCGGCUAACUACGUGCCAGCAGCCGCGGUAAUACGUAGGUGGCAAGCGUUAUCCGGAUUUAUUGGGCGUAAAGGGAACGCAGGCGGUCUUUUAAGGCUGAUGUGAAAGCCUUGGGCUUAACCGGAGGAGUGCAUUGGAAACUGGGAGACUUGAGUGCGGAAGAGGAGAGUGGAACUCGAUGUGUAGCGGUGAAAUGCGUAGAUAUAUGGAAGAACACCAGUGGCGAAAGCAGCUCGCUGGUCUGUAACUGACGCUGAGGUUCGAAAGCGUGGGUAGCAAACAGGAUUAGAUACCCCUGUAGUC
rnacentral:rRNA from 1 species